rnacentral:rRNA from 1 species
UACGUAGGGUGCAGCGUUAAUCGGAAUUACUGGGCGUAAAGCGGGCGCAGGCGGUUAUGUAAGACAGGGGGGAAAUCCCCGGGCUUAACCUGGGAACUGCAUUUGUGACUGCAUAGCUAGAGUACGGUAGAGGGGGAUGGAAUUCCGCGUGUAGCAGUGAAAUGCGUAGAUAUGCGGAGGAACACCGAUGGCGAAGGCAAUCCCCUGGACCUGUACUGACGCUCAUGCACGAAAGCGUGGGGAGCAAACAGG